UAACUUGUACACGGAAAUGGUCACAAUCCAAACAGGGGCAGCUUGCAAUACUAAACAGGAAAAUUCUGGACAUAAUAUAGUCAUAAAUCCAAAUAGAAAUGUCUUGUUGCUUCCAAAUAUGGGUUCUUAACUCCAUUACUAAAUAAGGAAAAUAUUACAUAAUAAUACAUGAAAAAUGAUCAGAUCACUAGUACAGAAACUACUCAUCGUCGCUAUCUACCUCAAUAGGGACAACUUUUUCUUCACUCCAGUACUCCAUCAGUGUGUCAUCCUCUACCUCAUCACCCUC
rnacentral:lncRNA from 1 species